rfam:Schistosoma mansoni, Puerto Rico, WGS project CABG01000000 data, contig: 0142
CAAAUCUGAGGAGUCCCAUAAUAGGACGAAACGGCCGUCCAGUGC